GUAAGGUCAAUAAGACCAUGGCGGUUUUCGUGAGGCGGAUGGGUGGCGUAGUUGUGCGUCACAAGGAGUUGGAAUGUAUGCUGCCCGGGUAUUUUAGGAAGGAUGGGGUUCAUCUAUCCGACGUGGGAUCGGAUUUACUUAAUUUGGAUUUUCAGGAUGGUAUUGCACAGGCCCUGUUUUUGUGUGGUGGGGGUCGCUCAUGUUCUUGAGGGGGUCAAGUCAUGUGCUGUGGCG